rnacentral:rRNA from 1 species
GACGAACGCUGGCGGCGUGCUUAACACAUGCAAGUCGAACGGAAAGGCCCUGCUUUUGUGGGGUGCUCGAGUGGCGAACGGGUGAGUAACACGUGAGUAACCUGCCCUUGACUUUGGGAUAACUUCAGGAAACUGGGGCUAAUACCGGAUAGGAGCUCCUGCUGCAUGGUGGGGGUUGGAAGGUUUCGGCGGUUGGGGAUGGACUCGCGGCUUAUCAGCUUGUUGGUGGGGUAGUGGCUUACCAAGGCUUUGACGGGUAGCCGGCCUGAGAGGGUGACCGGCCACAUUGGGACUGAGAUGCGGCCCAGCCUCCUACGGGAGGCAGCAGUGGGGAAUAUUGCACAAUAGGCGGAGGCCUGAUGCAGCAACGCCGCGUGCGGGAUGACGGCCUUCGGGUUGUAAACCGCUUUCGCCUGUGACGAAGCGUGAGUGACGGUAAUGGGUAAAGAAGCACCGGCUAACUACGUG